AUCUGAUCAGAUUGACUGGAUCUGGAUCGACUCGAUGUUCUGGAAGAGUUGAAGUUUAUUACAAUAACAGCUGGGGAACAGUCUGUGUUGAUGGCUGGGACUUAAAUGAUGCUGAGGUGGUUUGCAGACAGUUAAACUGUGGGUCGGCACUAAAGGCUUCUCAAUCGGCUCAGUUUGGUCCAGGAACUGGACAGAUUUGGCUUGAUAAUGUGACCUGUUCAGGAAAUGAAAGUUUUCUAACUGACUGUAAACACAGUGGAUUUGGAAUAAAAAAAUGUGAACGUGGUCAGAACGCUACUGUCAUCUGUUCAGCUUCACGGAAAAAGUUCUCGGUGAAACUGAAUCUGACUGAUGUCAGCUCCCAAGUGGACAUGACAGACCCCGUUGUGAGGGACAAAAUCUUGAAAUGGGUUGAAGAGAAGUUGGGAGGUACAUCUGAUGAUGUAAAAGUGAGCUGGCAGAAGCUUCCAGAAAAGAAAAAGCUCAAAAAGCAAGAGAAGUGUCCUCCGUAAUUCAGUCUGUUUGUUUCCAACGUAUAAAAACUGUAUAAAAGAGACCUAAUGUUAUAUAAAACCUUUAAAAAGCAUGUUAUUGAUUAGUUCUGUAUUUGGAUAAAGUAAAUCUUUUUCUGCUUGUUUUGUGUUGUGCUGCAUUUAGUUGUUAGCCAAAUGUAACCUGUUAAAGAGUGCUAACUUUAAUGGGUUUAACAACUAUUUUCUGUGAUGAAUUUUCAACAGUGAUGAGUUCUGUUUAGAAAUGUAACCAUCAAAUUUAGAUUUUACUUGACUUUAUAACUGAAGUCUUCAUAUUAGACACAGCAGCAUGAUUAUUCUGGUAGGACCCAUUUCAAUAUAAACCUGUAUAUUAAUUCAAGAAGCAUCAAAUUAUUUUGUCUUUUUUAAGGAAGAAAGCUUUUGACAUUUUUAUAAAACCAAUACUUAAAUAGGACACACAUAGCAGGAGGCCUUUGGCUUCUUCAAAAAUGUGUUUAAGUGAUAUAAUCAUUUCUCUUCCCUUUUUGUUUGUUAUUUAUGAGAGUGCGUAGUUCUGCUUUGUUUUUUGCCCUUAUUUUACUUACUGUUGGAUUCUAU